CUUGAUGGGCCUUGUAUGAAACGAGUAUUCUGUUAUGUUAUUUAAUUUGAAUUUUGUACGUUAAAAUAGGUUGAACAAUAUACUAAUAUUAAUAAGAAUUUUCUUAUAAUUCUAUCUUGAGUUAAACUACUGUUUUCUUUAUACAUACAAGAUGAAUAUUGUUUGUGUAAUAUGUAGUGAUUUAUUAAUACCUUCUGAUGAUGUUUUCCACACACCUUGUGGGCACAUUUUUCAUUUUGUUUGUUUAACCCAAUGGUUAGAAAGAUCCAGAUCAUGUCCACAAUGUAGAGAAAAAACUACCUCGCAUAAGAUUCAUAGAAUAUAUUUUAAUUUCUCUAACAAUGAUACCAUUGUCGAUGAUACCUGCUCUUUGCAGGAUAAACUUGAUAAAAUGAAUUUUCAGCUCAUACUGAAACAGAAUGAGCUUAAACAAUUUAUGGAAAAGAGUGAAACAUUUGAAAAACAAACUGCAGAGCUAAAAAAAGAAGUAUAUAAACUGGAGUCUGAGCUCAGGGCAAAAAAAUGUACAAUUGAUGCUCUUAAAGAUCAGAUUAAGUACUUCAAACAACAGAAUUUAGAAGUAGAAGCCAAAAGACAAGAAAUUGAGCAGCUACGAAAAGAAAUUGAAACCUACAAAAAUAUACAAACCUUACUUGAAGCAUCUACAGAACAUGUAGACGAGAUAAUCUCAAGAACAGCUGAACCCACUGCACUUAUUACAUACAUUUGUGUGAUGAAAAGGGAAAUGACAGUGAGUUUAAACAAAAGGAAAGAGUUAAGAAGUAAAUUAAGAAGCGUACAACAAGAACUUACCAAAGUAACAACAGAAAGGAACUUGUUGUCCGAAGAACAGGUUAAAAGAAAAAAAUUAGAAGAAGACUUAAUGAUUUGCGAAAGUGAAAAAAUGUUUUUACAAAAUAAGGUAAAAGAGCUAGAAAGAAAUAUAUCAUUAGCAAAAAGAACAAGUGAUUAUGAUUCACAAAAAGUAGAUGCAUUAAAUAGUGAUUUAAAUUUACUUAGUAAUAGUGAACAAAAUAAAGUUAAAACUGCUGUAAAUGAUGCAAAAACUGAGAGAAAAAGCAAUACAGAAAGAAGGAGAUCAGAAGACAAAAGUCAAUCGACUGAGAUGUUUGUUUUUAGACAGAUGAUACAAACUCGCCGUAUCUUCCGCUUAAAUCGGGGGGCUUGUUUGUUUUAAAACAUUCAGUAACAAAACGUAAUACAAGUAAUCUGAAUCCGUCCAUCUUUACAAAGAGACCAAGAACUGAGAAGCCAAAUGAACAAGUAAGAGGUAAUCUUAUGUAUGAUGGUUUUGGAGGACAUUCGAAGCUUGAAAGAUUCCCCAAUCCAUUAAGUAUGAAAAUGAAGAAAGCGAAAGAAGAUGCAAAAUUUAAACUAGAUGCAAGACAAAGAAGUUUGAUAUAGAUUAAUUAUAAUGACAAUUACACGCCAAAUGUAUUAUAGGAAAUUGAUGUACUAUGAUUCUAUGCAUUGUCAUGCGUAGAAACUGAGUCAAUUACUGUAUAAAUAUUUAGCCACCAUUUCACUUUAAGGUGAUUGAUAUUUUAGAAAUACGAAACAAAUGAAAUUUCGCGUAAAGAGAUGCUAGGGAAAAUCUAUUUAUAUUACAUGUAAUCGGUAACGUGAGCCUGUGAGAGAUAUGUAAUCUACAAGGUGAAAAAAAUUGUUGUUGAAUGUCUGUUCUAAUAUAUUAAAAUAUACAAACCACGUGGAACUACAUGUUCCACUAGUUUAUUAUGUCAAAGUCCAUAUUUUUAUAAACAUUGUUUGGGAAAACAUGUAGUACACUAUUUUUUAAAAUGUAAAUAUGUCCUAAAAGUGUGAGAGCAGCAACAUUAUUUAUUAUAUGACAUUCACACAGAAUUGUAUUGUCUAUUUUAUAUUUUUAUACAAAAUCUAAAUAAAUGUUUAACAUAAGUACUGUAUUCCCAGAUAUUGAUUUUUCUUUUACAAAAAUUGUAACUGAUCCAGAACACAUUCUCGAUCAAUUUUCGCAGGUCUUUGUCCAAUGUUAGAUGCGAUAUAGUUAAAGUUCUGAAGCGUUAUUUCAAUGUUUGCGCUUUGUACAAACGAUUCAACAUAGAUGAGAAAGUUAUUAGGUGUUCUGGAAAGUUUAUGCGGUUUUCAUGCGCUAUAAACACACAUGCAUUCACGUAUUUCGUAUCCUGUCUCUCACGGAUAAUUAUCCUCGCUCAAUAAUCUUGUUUCAGCCCCUAACUUAUGAAUGCCGUUUUUCCUCAAAUUUGUGUCUUGCGAUAAUUACUUUUUGCCACGCGUUCAUUCGUGUUUACUGCUCAUUUCAAUCCUAAUUAAUGAAACAAGAUCUUAAAUAAAAGGUGAAAAAGAUACAUCAGAAGAGCUGUUUACGAUGAGUAUAAUUAGAUUGCAAGUCUCAAAAAAG